rnacentral:rRNA from 1 species
CAGCCCUUGACAUGGCAGGACGGUUUCCAGAGAUGGAUUCCUUCACUUCGGUGACUUGCACACAGGUGCUGCAUGGCUGUCGUCAGCUCGUGUCGUGAGAUGUUGGGUUAAGUCCCGCAACGAGCGCAACCCUCGCCUUUAGUUGCCAUCAUUUAGUUGGGCACUCUAGAGGGACUGCCGGUGAUAAGCCGGAGGAAGGUGGGGAUGACGUCAAGUCUUCAUGGCCCUUACGGGCUGGGCUACACACGUGCUACAAUGGCGGUGACAGAGGGCAGCUAGUCCGCGAGGACAUGCUAAUCCCUAAAAGCCGUCUCAGUUCGGAUUGCACUCUGCAACUCGAGUGCAUGAAGUUGGAAUCGCUAGUAAUCGUAGAUCAGCACGCUACGGUGAAUACGUUCCC